rnacentral:sRNA from 1 species
AAGUGAACGAGAUAAAAGAGCAGAAGGUUAUAACCUGAAAGACGAAGAUGGAAGACUUCGAGACCCAUUUAGGAUCACGGCGCUACGGAUGACCUGAGAAUUAAUUUAUGGCACUUAGAAAUCACAGAUAGAAGCUUUAACAUCGUGGACAUCAAGCCUGCUAACAUGGAGGAGCUGACCGAAGUCAUCACCGCAGCCGAGUUCCACCCGCACCAGUGCAACGUGUUCGUCUACAGCAGUAGCAAAGGGACCAUCCGCCUGUGUGACAUGCGCUCCUCGGCCCUGUGCGACAGACACUCCAAGUGUAAGUGCGUCUGUUGUUGAGAUGGAGUCUGGCUCUGUCACCCAGGCUGCGGUGCAGUGACACAGUCUCGGCUCACGGCAAGCUCCGCCUCCCGGGUUCCAGCAAGUCUUCUGCCUCGGCCUCCCGAGUAGCUGGGACCACAGGCAGGUGCCACCACGCCCAGCUAGUUUUUGUAUUUUUAGUACAGACAGGGUUUCACCAUGUUGACCAGACUGGUCUGACCUCAGGUGAUCCCCCUACCUCGGCCUCCCAAAGUGCUGGGAUUACAGGUGUGAGUCACCGCACCCGGUCACGCCUGGCGUCUUUUAAAGCAUCUCAUUUAGAGCCACUUGUUCUUCAGACACUCCAAAGACUUAGAGAGUUCUUCCUGUUCCCCAAGUGCCUUUGCACAACUGGGGAGCCCUCCUUUGCUGGGGCCGUCCGAGUGUGGCUGUGUCAGAGGCUGCUGCUAAUAAGUGGAACUCGA